rnacentral:rRNA from 1 species
GACAGAGGAUGCAAGCGUUAUCCGGAAUGAUUGGGCGUAAAGCGUCUGUAGGUGGCUUUUUAAGUCCGCCGUCAAAUCCCAGGGCUCAACCCUGGACAGGCGGUGGAAACUACCAAAGCUGGAGUACGGUAGGGGCAACCGGAACAAACGGUGGAGCGGUGAAAUGCGUAGAUAUCGUUUGGAACGCCGAUGGUGAAAACAGGUUGCUGGGGCUGUGCUGACGCUGAGACGACGAAAGCCAGGG